rnacentral:snRNA from 1 species
GUGCUCACUUCAGUAGCGCAUACACUAAAACUGAAAUGAUACAGAGAAGAUUACCAUGGCCCCUGUGCAAGGAUGACACGCAAAUUCGUGAAGCGUUCCGUACCAUG